UAUUUAAGACAACCUGCGGAGUCCAUUCAGUGUUGCACAUAUAUAUGCUUAGGGCUGACCACGUGGGAUUAGAUCACCGAUGAGGAGCCUCACCCUUGGAAGAGUAAGUCUCUCUCUCUCAACUGUCAUUAAUUUCCCGUAGCUCGGCAUCGAGGCGGACGGCCCCGUGAGAUCUCCCCCUUCUGCACCAGCCAGUUAGCCGGCGGUGUCACUGUUCAGGUCUUGUUUCGGCAGCCAUAUUGCGGGGAUUUCACGGUGCAGGUUCCCUGUCGUGUGGAAGACACGAUCUCACAGCAUGUUUCCAGCUGAAAGACUAUCCAGCUGGAUAACCUAGGGCACAGGUAACCUUCAGUUCACCUACCUGUAAACUGGAGAGAUGACACUGUCCCUCGUGUAAUAUUGAGGAGGCGACUGUAUGGUGUCCUCAGGGCAUGUGUGUGCGGGUCUGAGCCCUGAAGACCCGAAACUCACAAAGGUAACUUACACAGCUGCUUCGGCUCUCGGUAGUGGGAUCUAACAGAAAGGAGUCACCCAAUAGGUCGGCGCGAUGGGAUCUGACCGCUCCCUGUGGGAUCUCACUGUAAUACUCAGGUCCUUCUUCUUUGCAGGGAUCCUCUGAGUUUUGGAAUUCUGCCUCUCAGAGCUCGCCCUCUGGCUUCAAAACUACCUUCUUUUUUUUUUCUUCCAAAUUUAACUUAAUUUUUCAUAUAGCUGAGCAUUUUGCCUCACAUGUGUCUCUGCACUGAGCCCAUGCCUGGUGCCUACCAAUGCCAAAAGAGUGGUUAAGAGCUCCUGGGAUUGGAGUUACAGAUUAAUGUAGUUGUGAGCUAUCACAUGGGUGCUGGGACUUGAACCUCACUCCUCUGGAAGGGCAACCAGUGCUCUUAACUGCUGAGCCCUGGAUGCCAUAUUUUUACAAUUAGUAACCACACGUGUCACUUCCUAAGUUUAGAAUCCUGUGUGUUUUGACCUCCAACGGCCAUGAGAAUAUGAUCAGGAAUAUCUUUAACCCUACCACAGCUCAUGUCUUCUUGGGAAUCACCCAAAGCAUCCUUCCCUUUGCCCUUUUCUGAGUUGACCAGAGUUGUCUCGGUCAUUCAUUCACUUGUCAUUCUUUAUAGAGACUCAUGGAUCCAGCCCGUGUCUUCAAGGUCACCUGAGGUAAUCCUCCACUGACUGCAGUCAUCGGCUGAAUAACAUUCCAGCUCCUAUUUGCAAAGCACCAGCAAUGGAUAAUUCAUCAGCCCCAAGAUAGCACAUUCCAUUAUUGCCUGUUAGGGAGCUCUUUCUUUAUUAGCUUUGAAGUGAAUUCCCUGUAAUUUCUCUCACUGGCAGUGGACUAGCAAGAGAUGGAGAUGUCUCUUGGAGUCUCAGCAAGAUGAAAUAGUUUAUCACUGAGGAUGUUUGGAGUUUCCAGUGCACAGCGCUAAUUUACACAUAUCCAUUCUGUGACUUUUAUCAUCAUUUUGGAGUUCUCCACAGAGAACACAUUUCAUUGUUGUCUAUGCCUGGGAGGGCCUACUCCAUCAGUCCUGACUUCUGGGAUCACAUAGGUCUCUCGAGACAGCCCUUUCCCUAUGGAAGGGCAGCCAGGGGGGCCCUAGACACCCCUGAUUUACCUGGUCUUUCCUAAACCACCCUCAUCACGCUGAUUAGCUUUCCCUGAAGAGAUGUGUGUCAGUUGACAUAUGCAUCAUUUAUAAUGCUUUCAAGUUGGCCUGUCAUGGAAAAUCAACUCAAAGGGGCUUAAAUGAUGAAGGGAUUUACUGAGGCUGGCCAGCUUAAGGCAAAGCUUUCUUCCUCACACUCCGGAUAGUACUGGGGAGACGUCCCUCCUUGUGAUUUUCUCCACUUCUUUUCUUAGUUUAUCCUCAGAAUGACUUCAUUUUGGGAAGCAGGAUGGUGGCCGGCCUCCGGGUGCUCCUACUCUUUAAUUUCCCUCUGAGGAAAAGAGGAUAUUUGCUCCUCAGUGUCUUAGUCACUGUUCUAUUGCUGUGAAGAGACAUCAUGACCGCGGCCGUGGCAACUCUUUUAAAGGAAUGCAUUUAAUUGGGGUUUGUUUGCAGUUUCUGAGUUUUACUCCAUUAUCCUCAUGAUGGGAAGCAUGGUGUCAAGCAGGCAGACAUGGUGCGGAGAAGGAGCUGAGAGCUCUGCAUCUGCAUCCGCAGGGGCAGGGAGAAAGAGACUGUGGCUUGGAAAGGGCUUUUUGAAAUCUCAAAGCCCCACCCCUACCCCAAUCUCCAUGACACACUUGCUCCAACAAGGUUGCACCUCCUAAUACCUCCUAAUCCUUUCAAAUAAUGCUACUCCUUGGUGACCAAGAAUUCAAAGGUAUGAGCCCGUGGGAGCCAUUCUCAUCACACCACACUCAGCCAAGAGCAACAAGAAUGCAAAGUCCUACUCCUUAGUUAGUGUCUCUUAGGUCACAAGCCCAAGAUGUCCAUCUUCCUUUGCUGGGAAGAUACAAUGGAGACUGAAAGCUAUUUCUUUUUUGCUGUAGCUGAUGAAACAAAACAUCACAAACAAGAUGGCUUGAUCAGCAAAAGGUUAUAGCAUGACAUAUCUGGAGGGUAGAAAUCUACGACCAGUGUCAGCAGGGUUGUCCCUCCUGCAGGGUGUGGGGAGAAUUGUUCUAGGCACUCCUUCUCACCGUGUUGACAGCCAGAUAGCUGUCUCUCCUUAUAAUACUCCACAUGUUCUUCCCGCUGUGUGCAUCUCUUUUUCUUUUCCUAGCUUUCUUUUAUUGGGACACUGUUGUUUGUAUUGGAUCAGGGACCAACACUACCCCACCAUCACUUCAUCUUAAGUCUGCCCAUAACCAUCUUGUUUGAAAAUAAGGUUGCAUCCUGCAGUGCCCAUGUGCUGUGGGACAUCAGUGUUCUAAUUGGUUAGUACAUGGUGUUUAUAAAAGAUCCUGAGGGUUAGGAUUCUCACUUAUUCCUUUGCAGGGAGUCGUAAUGCAACUAUAGCAGAACACUGCAUCAGCCAUCACAUAAUCUAUUAUAAAGUUUGGACCCUGCAACUGAGCACAGUCCAUGGGUAUGUUUGACUUGUAUAGUGAAGAGUAGACUAGAUUCGAAUUCCUCUCCAGACAAGCUUAUGCCACCAGGGUGGGACAGCCCUGAGCACUAUAAGCUUCUCAGAAGCCACUCAGUACAAUGACAAAAAUGCCUAUAUGGGGAAGUCACUAUAUUGGAAGCCUUAGAAAGUCAGCAGCGGGAAGACCAAUCAUUAACAUCCCCAAAGCCCUAUUUAUGAGCAAGACCUUGGCUGGAGAGGUGGCUCAGUGGGUAAGACACUUGCUUCGAAAGUAAGAGGACCUGAGUUCAAAUCCCCAGGACUUACAUUAGAAAAAGAAAGUUCCACUGCCAGAGUACUGUAACCCAUGUCCUGGGGAGCAGAAACAGGCAGACAUGAGGAGCUCACUGGCCAGCCACCAGAUGCUAAGUUGUGAGCAUUGGGUUCAGCGAGACACCGUGUCUCCAAACAUAAGAUGGACGGAGGCUGGGGAGAUGGCUCAGAAGGUAACUAUGGCUGACCUCCUGAGUUAGAGCCCUCAUAGCCAUACCGGAAAGGAGAGAAACAAUUCUUGAAAAUUGUUCUUUGACCCCACUUGUGGCUUAGCAACCACAUCUACCCUCCUCCCCACACCCUCCUCCUCCCACACCCACAUAAAAGAAAUAAAUAAAAAUGUGGUUUAAAAAAAUAGCAUAAUGAGGUGAAAAGCAAUCAAGGAAGACACUUGAUUCCUUCCUCUGGUCUUCCCAUGAACCCACGCCUGUACAUACAUGUGCACAUAACACAUGCAUGCACACACACACACACACACACACGAGAUAGACAAGUAGUUAAAGUUUGGCCUUUUAGAGUAAGAAGAGUAUCUGGAAAACAGAGGUAUUUCCCUCACCCAUGCUGUGUUUACAGAGGUUUCCAAGUGCUUGUGAUGCUCCGUGGCACACGUGAGGAAUGGCUCUCACUACCACCCUUCACUGCCUUUCACAUUCCUGUGACUUCCAGACACUAACCCUGCUUCUAGUACACACGCCCCCUUUGUCUUUCACGGCCUAGACCAAAUGUCUCCCCUGUGCUCGCUCUGCCUUCCUGGGCCUUUGGAUGCUCAGUGGGCCUUUCAAUGGACCGAAAUCAUCUCAGCCUCCUCCCACAGGCCAACCUGAGUUGGGGCUGUCUCAGGGGGUUCUAGGAUGUAGCAAGACAGCAGUUAAGAGCAGACCAUCAAAAGCUCUGCACAGCCACUAAUGGAGACCAGAAGGGAAUGGGUUCCAUAUAGAUGCCUGUUGUGUAAUAUACUGUGACAGUGCCAGGUGCCAGAGAAGAUAGGACCCACAUCAGUCCUUACACAUUGCUGGUAGGAUGUGUACUGUACAACCCAUUUGAAAAUAGUCUGGAGUUACCUUACAAAAUUGAGUGUUUUUUAACUACUGUUCCUCAGUGGGUUAGGCUAAAUCAUUCAACAAGCCAAUCAUACAUUACUUUCCUUAUUGCUGUGAUAUAACACCUGUUACACACAUCUUGAGGAGGGAAAGGUUUGCUGUGGCUCACAGUUUGAAGGUACAGCCCACCAUGGUGGGAGAGGCAUGGUGAGAACUCCGUAUUGACAUGAUUUCAGUCAAGCACAGAAAUAUGGAUGUUAGUGCUUUGCGCGUUUCCUCUUCAGUUAGAGACCCCAAUCCAUGUCAUGAUGUCACCCAUGUUCAGAGUGGGUCUCCCCUCCUCACUUAGUCUUCUCUGGAAGCACCGUCAAAGACAGGCCCAAAGUUGCAUCUCCACGGUGAUUGUAAGUCAAGUGAAGGUGACAAUGAAGACUGGUCGUCGCACAUACUUAGCAUCUGUGAUAUGCCAUGCUCCCGGAUAGUAUCUAGGAAUAAAAACAGGGACAGAAACGUACCCCUGCCUUAUAGUCUAGCAGGAAAGACUGACAUACAUUUCAUCAAUGAGAUGCAAAUGAGUCUGUGAAUUCUACCAUGGUCUCAGACCUGGUCUCUUGGGGGAGGACAGUGCAGGAGCUCCAAUGAUGGAUGGGAGGUAAUCCGGGUUUGCAAACUGCAUGAACUUGAGCAAGUUCUAGUCUUUGAGGACUUCUUAUUUUAAAAAGAUGCCAUGGGGGCCUGGCCAGACGGCUCAGCUAGUAAAGGUAUUUGUUGCCAAGCCUGACAAUCUGGAUUUGAUUGCCAGAACCUUCAUGAUACUGGCUCCUGAAAGUUGCUCUCUGUCUUCUAUACUACACACACACACACACACACACACACACACACACACACACACACAACACGAUACAUAGAUAGAUAGAUAGAUAGAUAGAUAGAUAGAUAGAUAGAUAGAUAGAUAAAGUUUUCAAGUGAAAAUUAAGCACAGAUUAAAACCUGGCACAAGUAUACAGGAAGCACCAGGGACUAAAUAAAGGUAGGCAAAGACACAAGACUGCUGAGUCAGUGAUAAACCAGAGCAUUGCAAUUCAGAGCACAGCCCAAAAGAUGACAAUGGCUACAGAGCCCAACACUGCACUCUGUUGCUCAUUUGUCAAUGCUUCCUGACAUUCUAAGAGGCAGAGUGAGUCUGCCACCAUGACUUACUGUAUCUGCAUUGGGGCAAGAAUUUGAACCCAGACCUUCUGUUCCAGAGACGGUUCUAGAACAGUCUAUUCUGCAAUGCUUUGGGGGAGCAAAUAUGAGGGGAUCUGAGGGAGACAGAUUGUAAAGCCAUUAGAUCAGAUGCUAAUGACCAAUAAGGGUGGAAUCUGAAGCAGGCAGAGGGAGGAACUGAAGAAACUUCCUCACAAAGCCCAGAAGCAGAGGGCUGGUACUCCAUUUCACCUGCAUUGGAGUCCCCAAGGUUAGGCCCACCAAGGAGGAUGCAGCCAGAUAAGGCAUCAUCAAUAUUAACGAGUGCCAGUCCCUCUGCUCAACCCUCGUUUGUUAUCUUUUUUAUCUUGCACAGCACCUUGUGAGAGGGAGUGUCCCCACCUCACAGUUGUUCAAACACGUCCAUAAGAUUAAGUCAUUGGACCUGGGUCACAGAGGCAGAGGCAAUGCCAGGACAUGUCUUCAUGCAACCCCGCCCCCAGAUUUUGUUGUCUUUCACUCUUGCUGAUCACCUGUCUCUAGCUUCUGUCCUUUCCUGAGGCUAAUACCCUGCACUCAAGGUCAUCUGGGAUUUGUCUUUGGACCACUGGAGCUAUUGUUGCACCCACAGAGAAUGUAGGUCUUGAGGAACCCUUUGUCACAUCUAGGUGGUAGGAGCACGAGAGCCCUGAUCAUCAUGGCGAGACAGACUCCGGAGGCAUGGUUACACACACGGUUACAUACAGAACGCCCUGUGGUAGCUACGGCUAGGACUUGGUGGUAAUUACUCCACCACACCAAAGGAUAGACCCAUCUUUAUUCAUUCAAGCUCAGUGUUCUCCGAUAUUAGCUUCUUCUCCACUCCUGUCCUGCUUCUCCUCUCCCAUUCUGCUUCCCCACUCCCAUCCUGCUCUUCUCCUGGAACAACUAUGUUCAUAAGUUGUCUUCUCAGGAUCUGUUUUCAGAACCCUAACUCAAGACAUCCUUAGCCUCUUAACCACCUCCUCUACUCCCAUCCAACUCCCUACUCCCACCCCACCCUCAGUAUCAUCUUUCUCCUAUUCAUACCUACUUGCUGCCUCACACUCUCUGGGGACCAGAAGCCAGUUGCUACCCCUACUCCUCUCACAUGGCCUAGGUCUUCCCCGGGGUUUCCCUUCCGUACACUCCUGAGCACACAUUCCAGAUGAGGCCCCACCUCCACAGAGGGUAUAGACUGACUACUUAGGUUUUACUUUCCCAAACUUGAGCAAGCAUGACCCACCUCCCAGGGCGUGGGACAAUGGGGCUGUAGUCAGAGAGAGUUUCCAGGCCCUGUUCAGACUUGUGCUGGUGCUGAGGCAGGUACUUGAGGGAUCAGCCCUGGGUGUCUGGAGGGGAGAACCAGACAGACUACCCCAGGGAAGGAUGCCAAACCUGUAAGUAAAGGUCCUUUGUAAAAAGAACAGGCCUUGGACUAACAAGUUUCUUGAGGGAUAUGUAACACGAAGUUAGACACAUCCACCUAAGGCACAUUGAGUUGAAUUUUCUUCCUCCACUUGGUGUUACCUCACAAGGGAAAAAUGCUAGGUGGUCCAGGGAAACCUUUGGAAGAUGCUGACUGUGCUAUCCCCCUGUCUAGGUCCAUAUGAACUGGAGAUUAAUGACUCCUGUUACUACUGUCUACCACUUACAUAUAGCUUCCUAACCGACCUACAUUCAACUUAAGAGGAAAGGGUGGGGAAGGGAUAACUCAGCCCAGGAAUGGCAGGGUGGUCCUGGUCCCUCUCUUGGAAUCGGUCUCCUUAUCUGUAAAAGGGACAUCAUUCCUCUCUGUCCCUCUCUGUUCCUCUCUGUCCCUCUGUCUCUGUCUCUGUCUCUGUCUCUGUCUCUCUCUCUCUCUCUCUCUCUCACACACACACACACACACACACACACACACACACACACACACACACACUGCCCUUCAAGUUCUUACACUUUUCAAAACUUCUCUAUGAUUCUAUUUAUCAUUUUCCCAGCAGUCUUCUACCUCCUUCCCAAACCCCUCCUCUGAAACAUGAAGAGCCUUCCUGGCUGUCCACUCUCAGUUCACUCCCUCAUGUCGCCUGGUUAUGUCUACUUAUCUCUUAGGGCUCAACUCAGGCUUCAGUUUCCCAAGGAAGCUUUUCUGAUCUUUUCCAGCCCCUUCUCUGGGCUCCCACAUCACCUUAUAUUCUUGGUCAUGCAUCAUUUCAUAUGUAUUCUGGUCUUUAUGCCUGGGCUAGAGCUUCAAUAGCAUGGCCGUAUUUUAUCCCUGAACUCUAAGACCUACCAUAACAUCUUUGAUGUAGCAAGCACUCAGUAAAUGUUUGUUGAACAGACACCCAAACAGAAGGAAAGUGUCAGAACAAAGGAGAUAGCAGAUAGGAGGGGAAACUGCAAAUUGUCAUUACACUUAUGAAUGGUUUUUCUCUGGAUAGAUAUAUUUUUGCAUGCCUCUGGAGACUAUCUUGAGAUGAGGAGGCCAGCCCACUUGUAGCAUCUUUUUCUGGGGUGGGAUUCUGGAUUAUAUAAAAAAGCAUAAUGUGAGCAGAACACAAGCCUUCAUCCAUACCUGCUCCUUGCCUAUGGGUGUGACGUAUCCAGCUGCCUCAGGCUCCUGCUGAGCUGACUUCCCUGACAUGAUGAACUUUGACCUUAAACUAUGAGCAGAACUAAACCCUUUUAUUGUGGGACUUUCUUAGACUCACCAGUUGUAUUAAUAAAACUCUGAUCUAUCUGUUCCCCUCCGUGUCCCUUGAAUCCACUAUCUGCUUUCUUCUCCUAGCGUUUCUGCUCCCUACUUCCUGCACAGCUAUUGGUCAUCAGCUCUUUCUUAUGGCCGAUCAGCAAUGAGACAGCCUCUGAUAUAAUUCUAAAUUGCCUCUAGGUAUAGAGGAUCUUCACAUAUCUGAGCAAUGAGGAAGGAUAAGUAUUCACAAAUAUAAGGUCUGUGGUGGGCAGAAGAAAUGACAACAGCAAGAUCCUGCCAGCAUUCAACUCUCUGCCUUACAGAAUUAACAACUGGAAAUAGAGAGACACACCUUCACACAGUGUAAAAAAAAGUUACCCCAACACCUCUCUCUCUUGAGCUGUUUUUUUUUGUUGUUGUUGUUGUUUUUUUGUUUUGUUUUGUUUUGUUUUGUUUUUGUUUUUUCGGAGCUGGGGACCAAACCCAGGGCCUCGCGCUUGCUAGGCAAGCGCUCUACCGCUGAGCUAAAUCCCCAACCCACCUCUUGAGCUGUUUUUAUAGGAGUCUUUUAUCCAACAACAGAAAAAGCAUCUAAGGCAUUGACACAUCACAUGUUAUCGAUGGGAUUACAGUAACAGUUGCUAAGCCUUGGCAAAGAGAUUUGCUGAACAUCAGAUGCUAAUCAAACAAUCAGAAAUUCCUUGUGCACAUGCAGCUGUAUUCUUUCUAAAUUCACCCUGUGUCCAGAAUCUCACUCUAGACUCCACUCAGUAGCUCAGGCCUUGCGAUCAAAAAUCCAGACAAGGCACACAGAGUAUGGUGAGGAAGGUGGGGAUAGUGUGUCACAGAGGAAAGUAGGGUGGCCUCAGGGAAUGGUGUUGACAAUGUCAGGGGAACCACUGAAGAGGAAAAGACUCUCGGAUUGAGAGUGGACAGUGUCUAGAGAGACUAUUGUGCCAUCUUAUUUUAGGCAGACUUUAUACUACUUAAGUUGUUUUGCUUUGUUUUAAGGAAACAACUUCCUCAGGGGUGUUUUCUCAUCUAGGUGACAGACAGAUUCAUUUGGAUUUAUUCUUAUGGAGGGAACAAUGGAAGGUCUUCGUCCUUUACCAGAAAUCCUUCAGCCAUGUAUAGUAUAUUCUGAUAUUUUGAGCAGUUGAAAAAGUCAUGUUGACAAGGUCAUGGAUCUACCUAGGGCCAGAGAUGUGAAUCAUGUCCCAUUCUUUUGACCAAUAAUCAAAGUCCUAAUUUUACAAGCUGAUGAUUAUGAGGGAAGGGGCCUUCAAGGCUGCUCAUUUCUGACCAGCCAUCUAACAAUACCACAAAUGGCAGGAAAUCAUUAAAACUCCUGAGCCCAAGGUGACUGUUUUAUGAAUAACCAGUCCAGGAGUCAGGGGUGCUGACACGGAGAACAAAUAUCACACCUGAGCCUGUCAUAUGCUUGUCUCAGCCAUUUUCAUUUUCAUUUCCAUUGGUACUGAUGUUCACAUUGCGGUCCUGACAUUCACAGUACAUGUUCAUCUAAAAAUCAGUUAGAUAGAUAGAUACAAUACACAGAUGAUAGAGAGAUGAUAGAUAUGAUAGAUAGAUACAUAGAUAGAUGAUAGAUAGAUAGAUAGAUAGAUAGAUAGAUAGAUAGAUAGAUAGAUAGAUAGACAGACAGACAGACAGAUAGAUAGAUCGGCCCCACUAUUACUCUUUGCUCUUUUCUUAAGUGAGGGGGUAUCAAAGGCUAAACCCAUGUUUUCCCUUUGCGGGUGAGAUGGCGGCAAAUGGGUGGGAAUUGAGAACAGUGUGGAAGAUAAGGGUUGAAGCCAAGCUCUCUAUCCCACCCCUGCAAAAAGACAGCCGGCCAAGCAGGACAGCCACCUCUCCUAGCCUGUUUCUAUCUUCUAAGUCAUGUCUACUCCCUUAUUAACAAGGCCCCAGCACAAUGCUAGACAACCCCCCCACCUCUUCUAGCCCCUCUCCUUCAGAUGCCUAUACAUUGUCCAGGACUGCAGGACCAGACCCUGGCCUCCCUGUCUCUUUCCUCUUUCCCUUUCAUCCCUAAUUCUUUUUUUCCUUAAUAAGAUUUUUACCUUAAUUUGUGUAAAGGUUAAUGCUGUCUUCUGAAGAUUAUAGAUUAUAAUUAUAAAAAUGACAGAUGAAAUCCUCCCUCCCUUGAAAUCUCUCAGACCUUCAGGCCUUCUGUGUGACCCUCCCAGAGAUUGGUGAUUGGUGAUUGGUGUGUGUGUGUGUGUGUGUGUGUGUGUGUGUGUGUGUGUGUGUGUGUGUGCAUGAGCGCUCGUGCUCAUGUGUGUUUGAUGGGAGGCACAGGUGUAGAUCCCAGAGGUCAACAUCCAGUUCUUCAUUGCCAUUCACUUGAUGCGGUUUUGUUGCUGGUUUGGAUUGGGUUUUGGUUUGGUUGUUUCGUUUUAUUUUUAUGGAGUCUCUCCCCAGCCUGAACUUGCUGAGUAGGCUAUGCUGCAUGGCCAGAGAACUCCAGGAAUCUGCCUGACUCCACUUCACCAGAGCUGAGAUCACAAACACGUGUUGCUAAGUAUUUCUAUCUUUUUAUUGAAUUUCUAUAUUUAGUAUAUUUUAGCACCACAGUGCUCCUGUGGAGGAGGUCAGAGGACAACCUGAAGGAGUCAGUUUUCUCUACCAUGUGGAUCCCAGACAUGAAACUCAGGUGGUUUGACUUGAUGGCAGUGCCUUUACCUGCGGAACCACCUCUCUCGAUCGCCCGCAUCCAGCCUUUUGUGUAAGUUCUGAGGGGUCAGACUCAGGUCUCACGCCUGUACAGGAAGCACUUUACCGACUAAGUAUCCUAGUUUGCUUCCCAUGGCUAUGAUCAAACACUCCAGCCAAAAGCAAGGUGGGGCGAAGUGGUUUGAUUCGGCUUAAAUUUCCACAUCACAGUCCAUCACUGAGGGAAUGUAGGAACCCAAGCGAGAGCAAAGACAAGAACUACAGAGGAAUGCUACUGAACUGGCUUGUUUUCAUGGCUUAAUCGGCUUGCCUUCUUGUACACUUCACGAGGAAGGGCCCAGGGAUAGCACCUCCCACCGUGAGCUGGACCCUCCCACAUCAGUCAUUCAUCACAAGAAUACCCUUGCAGACUUGUCCGCAGGCCAGUCCGAUAAAGGCGGCCCCUCAAUUGAGUUUCCACCUUCUUCCCAGAUGACUCUAGUUGUGUCAGAAUGACAAAAAACUAACCAGCCCACUGAGCUAUCUCUGCAGAAGCCCUCUCACUGAGAUAAUUUUAAUAUAUACACUUCAUAUUUCCAUGCUCAUCUGCUUACAAAUUCCCACCCUCGGUAUUCUCUGGGAACCUUAUACCACAGAGCGCAGCAGACAGUGUUCUGCUCCUCAGUUCUCUCCGUGAACAAUACGUCUCAGAGAUCUCUCCACAUCCAAGCAUGGAGAAUCUCCUUUAUGAUUUUCACAGCUAUAGUCUUCUAGUCUACGGAACUUGCUCUGCCAGUCUGACACAGGUGGCUGUUCAUAACAGGUACUAUAAAUAAUGAACAGCUGUAAAUAGAGGGAAUUUCCCAAGCACGAACUGUAAUUGGACUAACAACUGCCAAAUUGUCCGUUACAAAAAUUAUACUAAGGUACCCUCUGGCCAAACAUAUAAAAGGUAUGUUUCAGAAUUUUAAAAAUUAGAACCAUACCUACACAUAUAUCCUUUCGUUGACCUACUAUGUGCCAAGCAUAUUCGACUUAUCUCGUCCGAUGGAACCCUUUCAGUUGUAAUGGCUCUGACCCUCAUAAUGGAAAUCCAAGAUUCAUUGUUGAUGGCAGAAAAUAAAAAAACAUUUUCUCCUUCUAUAGUCCCUGCUUGUCUUUGUCUUUCAUCGGGAAGCCAAGAAACAGAUGUGCCACUGGUCGUAGCUUGGUCAUAAACACUGUUGAGGAUGUGCACAACCCUGGGUGUGAUCCUUGGCACUGUGUAAACAAAGGCAGCCUGUCCUGGUUUCUAGAACAGACACAGCACCCGCACCCUCCAGGGGGAGAGCCAUUCAUUUCUGCUGACACCAGCAUGUUCUGAGAGACUUGAACAUCCCUUCAGAAGACCCGAGAAAAGCAGUUCAACUCUGCGUUGUGGAGUGGAGUCCCCUUCCAGGCCUGUUCAGCCUAACUCUGCAGCGUGUUCUAAAGAAGAAGGGAGUGCUGAUAAGCCACGGAAAAGAGGAAGAGAAUAUGAUGAGGUGGCAUGAGGAGCUUUCUUACUCAACCAAGUAUGAAGGAACAUGCUUCGUCAGAUUGUCACGGAUUGACAAAGGACUUUCUCCUCAAGCGAGGAAAAGAAAAUGGCUGCCACAGGGCUUCCCGCCUUUGUGCAGGGACCUCCGCGAACCUCCAUAGCUGCAGAGUAAUUGGGUUACUCAUAUAGGAUGGGUGUUUUGAGGUAAGGCAGGAAGACGUUAUAUGAUUGGUCAGAGCACAUUCAGCACAAAGUCAGACUCAUGGCCUCAGGCCAGGCUCCGACAUCUUCCUGCCUGUUGCGGAUGUCCUAAGUCCAGGAAGCCAGCAAGCCCGGGCUCAAAAAAAAGAGAAGACAGCUUUUGGCCACACCCAAGAGCAGUUUUUGGUCAAGCAUUCCUGGCAACUUGCACCACCGCAACAUGCCCACACCCUGAUAGCUGAUAGACAAGACGGUAGGUUCAUUAAGGCUGGCUCAAGUGUGGUUUGGGGGCAUACAGAGGGCUCCUUUCUAAAAAUAGUUCACUCCCAUUUCCUGCUGUAGAAGGCUUACUCCAUUGGAUUGGGGCUAUAUAGUCUCAAUAGCUCUGAUUUUAAAAUUCAGGGCCACUAUGUGUGGAAUAUACUCAGGCUCUACCCACUGUAGUACCCUGACUUGGCAUUUAUUUAUAGCCUUCUCCAAAUUCAAAAAAGGAUUUAACAUUAUCUCAUAUUUAUUUCUCACAUAACGGGAAACAAUCAUUCUGGCAAAUUCUGAGAGUUUCUAGGGAGAACUUGGACUCUGCCUUGGACAUUUCACUUUUCUACACAAAUACUCCAACAGCAUCCUGACUCGUUGCACUUUAAAAGGAAUCCAAACCUGGCAUCGUUCCAGGCCCUGCCUGCUUAGGCCCUAGUCCUGCUCAUCACUCUCAACACACACCAUCUUGUUCUCUGCCUCCUUCUACCUCACCAUGAUGACUGUUAGUUAUUUUGUGUUGCUGCGAUAAAAAUGCCACGGUGAAACUUGCAGAAGAAUUUAUUUCAGCUUAUAUUUUCAGAGAGGUAAGAGUCCACCAUAGUGGCAGGAACAGGAAGCUGAGAGAUCUCAAUGAAACAAAAGAAGCAAAGACAGCAAACUGGUAACCUGGAGUUGUGAGCUUUCAAAGCCUAACCCCCAUCUGAUAUAAUUCCAACUGCAAAGCCACACACCCUAAAUGUUCUACAACUUCCCAAACAGUUCCACCGAUUGGGAACUGUAGAGGGCCGCAAUAACACUCGCCACCGCUAGAUGGCGCUGGCUUCCACUGCGCCCCACGUGAAAGGCCAGGAUAGCCUCCGCCAUUACAAGAUGGCGCCAGCCUUUGCCGCCCCAGCUGACUCCCUUUCAGGAGGUUAACUGUGCACAUGUACAAGAGUGCCUUCGUGCCAGGUCUUUGCCCACUCCGGGGCGUGCCUGAUGAGAUCAUGGGUAAACAACCAAUCAGGUGUGGAUGCGCCGCGCUAAGGUGUAUAUAAGCGCACCAUGUUGGCGUGCCGAGGCUUCCUCUUUAAGAUUAUAAUAAAGUUUGGUCACAGUAAG